rnacentral:lncRNA from 1 species
CCUGGAAGACGUUCCAAGGGUGUUUGGAGCCCGGUUUUUCGGGGCUCAGCCUGUAUCGGAAGGAUACAUGGUUUUGGGUUGGAGGAGAGAGGAGAGAGCCAGAUCCACUGAAGGAUCCGGACCCUCGUCGCUUCUGUCUGAAUUUUUGGUUUCAGUUUGACACCGAAGCCGCGAGGUCUUCUUUACCACCGAGGAAAGACGGAAUCCUACUGGAGGCCAGAAAGAAUGUUCCAGACAUGGAUAGAAGACCCUCACUCCUGACUGUUGACUUGAAUGCGCCUAAAGGGCCUGGGACAUGUGGCUGAAACAGGGGACCUGAGGAGACCAGUGAUUUGUUGUAGAUACUGGACCAGAAAGAAGCAACAGAUAAGAUGCUAUUCUGUCCUCUAAAUCUAAUCCCACACAUACAUAUACAUAUAUCUUGAACUCUUUGACCAGUACUUCUUUGCCCUGUAACUUGUGCAUUUGUUCCAACAUGAUCUUUCAGUAAUAUAAGUGACAUCAUGAUGCCCUGUC